AUUGAACGCUGGCGGCAGGCCUAACACAUGCAAGUCGAACGGUAACAGGAAGAAGCUUGCUUCUUUGCUGACGAGUGGCGGACGGGUGAGUAAUGUCUGGGAAACUGCCUGAUGGAGGGGGAUAACUACUGGAAACGGUAGCUAAUACCGCAUAACGUCGCAAGCACAAAAAGGGGGACCUUCGGGCCUCUUGCCAUCGGAUGUGCCCAGAUGGGAUUAGCUUGUAGGUGGGGUAACGGCUCACCUAGGCGACGAUCCCUAGCUGGCCGGGACGGAGGACCAGCCACACUGGAACGGAGACACGGUCCAGACUCCUACGGGAGGCAGCAGAGGGGAAUAUUGCACAAUGGGCGCAAGCCUGAUGCAGCCAUGCCGCGUGUAUGAAGAAGGCCUUCGGGUGGUAAAGUACUUUCAGCGGGGAGGAAGGGAGUAAAGUUAAUACCUUUACUCAUUGACGUUACCCGCAGAAGAAGCACCGGCUAACUCCGUG
rnacentral:rRNA from 1 species